ensembl:lncRNA
AUGCAACUCAUUGAGACUAGAGUUUCCCUGGAGCUAAGGGGACCCUUCUAUCUGGAAGAAAAUCUUCCCCGGGAGUCUGAUCCUCUUUCUUUACAAUUCCUGAGUUCAGAGCAAAGGAAUCAAGUUUCUGGCAGAGAUCAAAGCACCUGUGUCCAUGUUUUUUGCUACUACUCUUCAUGACCACUGACUGCUGGAUUGAUUAAAGACAGGCGGGAACUUUAUCUGAUUCCUACCCAUGUGUGCAGAGCAUACAAACUCAGUCCCUAGGAAUCCACAAAAUUAUCUGUUAUAUAUGCUAUAGGUGGCAUGAGGAGCAACUUCCUUCCUUCCUUCCCUCCCUCCCUCCCUCCUUCCCUUCCUUCCUCCUUCCUCCUCCUCCUUCCUUCCUUCCUUCCUUCCCUUUUCCUUCCUUCCUUCCUUCCCUCCUUCUUUCUUUCUCCUUCCUCCCCUCCCUCCCUCCCUCCAAAGAGUUUGCAGGCAACAUAGUAAGAUCUCAUAACUCACAAAUAUAACAAAAAGCCAUUAUUAGGAAAAUGGUAAAGUACUGACUAAAUUAGGAUUGGGAUUCAGAAAAUGAGCAAUGAAUCUUUUCUUAGCCAAGGCUUUAGAGAAGAAAAGCAUCUGGGUACGAUGCCUCAUGACUGCAAUCCCAGCAACUGGGGAGGCUGAGGUAGGCAGAUCUUUUGAGCUCAGGAGUUCAUGAUCAGCCUGGGCAAUGUGGUGAAACCCCUUCUCUACAAAAAAUACAAAAAAACUAGCUGAAUGUGGCACAUGCCUGUAGUCCCAGAUACUCAGGAGGCUGAGGUGGGAGGAUCGCUUGAGCCCCGGGGAGGUUGAGGCUGCAGUGAGCCAUGAUGGCACCACUGCACUCCUGCCUGGGUUACAAAAUGAGAUCCUGUCUCAACAUUAAAGAGAGAGAGAGAGAGAGAGAGAGAGAGAGAAGAAAUAGCUUUUAUUAUAAAUAACACUGGCUAAAGUUAAGAUGGUAACACAAAUGUAACCAUGUGGAAUAAGACAGAUGGAUACUGCCCAAGCCACUUCAAAUUCUGAUUUGCACCAUAAGAUCCUGAUACCCUGAUGUGCCAGUUGUUGUAAAGGGCUGUGAGUGAUGGAAGGACAGAGAUUCCUGCCUUUCCAGCAGAACCUUCCAAAAUUGCUUCAUGAGCCCUUGGCACGGCUCCCAGCUCCACUCGGAACUCUGUAAGAGGCAGCUUUUCCUGGUGGAAACCUCAUCUGUUGCUUUAGUUUAAUUCUGUUUCAAUGCCAGUGACCGUACACUUAUCAGAGAAGAAAAGGAAAGCACGGAGAAGGAGCUGGCUGUCCCCAAACGCUUGUGCACUCUUCACUCUGCAGCUGGCUCUUCCCUGCUUCCAUUCUUCUAUCCCCUUUUAUACUGUGAUUCUUUAUGUCAAAUCUUCAUUAACACCCUGAAUGCAGUACUACUGGGGAGAGUUUUGUUCUCUCAGUCUUUUUAUGCUCAGAGUAUUGUUGGGCUCACAUUCAUUUUAUUUUCGUCUGUUGAUAUUUUCCUAACUUCAGUUUUUGAGAGUUGUAUUAUUAUUAUUUUUAACUCUAAUGUGGUUCCUGGGACAAAAUGAAAUGGCUUUGCCAGAAAAACUGAUG